AAAGGAAGAUGUUCACACUUCACAGUUCAUACUUCAUAGCCCAGAAGACGAAGAACUUUAACUUGGAGAUAUUGAUUAUGAUGAAGAUGAAGUGAUGAUCUGAUGAAGUGAUGCAAAACAUUUGAAAUUACUACUUCACUAUAAAAAAUGUAAACAUUUCAUUAUCUCUUAUUAAUUUGAAAUUGAGAAAUAAAGUAGCACUUGCAAUAAGUGCAAUUUUUUCGCCAUCUUUUUUUGUUUUCAUUCAAUUAUUACAAAGUAUUAAUAUAACUUAAUAUUUAUAC
rnacentral:lncRNA from 1 species